rnacentral:misc_RNA from 1 species
CGACAAGGGCGGGGAACACGUGGCAGGGGCAGGAGGCAGUGUGGGAGGUCUGGACGGUGAUAUUAGAAUCUUAAUAGAUUAGUAUAGAUCCAUGAAUAAUAUACGCCCUUCUUAUUCGACCACGCACGGUACGGGGAGCAGUAUCAUCACCAUGGUCACCGCAUCACUCGGCGUCGAGCGCGUUGCAGAAGCGCCUGCCGUGGGCGGUGAGCAAGCCGCACUCGGCCGCGGCGACGAGGGCGGGGGCGAAGCGGGCCUGCGCGACCCGGCACCUCUGCUGGGCCCCCGGCUCCGCGCCCACGACGAGGGGCGUCUCCAUCAUCACCCGCAGCGCCCGGCACCGGCACUCCGCCGGGAUGUCCCGCAGCUGGCUGCAGCACGUCUCCUUGAGGACGGCCCGGUUCGGGAGCAUGGCCUCGAUCACGUCGCAGCUCCGGCUCGCAACGUACCAGGUGCAGCCGGACAGCGGACGGUACGGGAUGGCCUGCCCCGGCGCGCAGUAGCUCGGGGCUUCCGCGGCGCCGCCGGCCACGGCGAGCAGGGCGGCGGCCGCCGAGAGGACGAGACGGCUGGUGGUGGUGCAGCACGCCAUUCUUUCUUGGCGUUACUGCUAGUGUCUAGUGUGCUACUGGAUUUCUUCUUGGUCCAGCCCAGUCGUCUGAUGGUAUAUGUGUUUGGUUACUCUAUGGAAUCUUG